GCACUCACUUUGGCAGCACAUAUACUAAAAUUGGAACGAUACAGAGAAGAUUAGUAUGGCCCCUGUGCAAGGAUGACAUGCAAAUUCAUGAAACGUUCCAUAUUUUU
ensembl:snRNA U6 U6 spliceosomal RNA